rnacentral:rRNA from 1 species
CAAUAGCAUAUAUUAACGUUGUUGCAGUUGAAAAGCUCGUAGUUGAACUUUUGGUAGGAGCGACCUGGCCUUGGGCGCAUGCCCUUGUUUGCCGUGUGUCGUAUCUGGCCAUCCUUUUCUUCUUUUGGAAGGAAUCUUUUACUGUGAGUAAACUGGAGUGCUCAAAACAAGACGUUUGUUUGGUACAUUAAAGCAUGGAAUAAUAAGAUAGGACCUGGUUACUAUUUUGUUGGUUUGCAUAGCUAGGUAAUGAUUAACAGGGACAGUUGGGGGUAUUCGUAUUUAAUUGUCAGAGGUGAAAUUCUUGGAUUUAUGAAAGACGAACGACUGCGAAAGCAUUUACCAAGGAUGUUUUCAUUAA